rnacentral:rRNA from 1 species
AUACGGAGGGUGCAAGCGUUACUCGGAAUCACUGGGCGUAAAGCGCGCGCAGGCGGCUAUUUAAGUUGGAUGUGAAAGCCUACGGCUCAACCGUAGAACUGCAUCCAAAACUAUUUAGCUAGAGUGUGGGAGAGGAAGAUGGAAUUAGUUGUGUAGGGGUAAAAGCCGUAGAGAUAACUAGGAAUACCAAAAGCGAAGGCAAUCUUCUGGAACACUACUGACGCUGAGGCGCGAAAGCGUGGGGAGCAAACAGGAUUAGAAACCCUAGUAGUCC